rnacentral:lncRNA from 1 species
UGGUGAGGGACUUCGGUCUGUCUGGACCCACCUCCUGGCUGCAAGCCAUGAUUUGGGCAUAGUCAGCUGAAGACCUUUGUCUCUGUCCCAAGAUCCGACCACCUCGGUUAAUCUGGGAGGAAGACGCAGAAUAUUUGCCCAACACCCGAUCUUCUGUGGACUUGCACCACUGACCUCCCGCUCGCGCUCUGGCUGCUGGACGCGUCCUUGCGCGGUGUGUUCUCCCUCCAGGAGCCUCCUGUCCAGCAUGUGGCCAGAAGCCCUCUGCCCCAGGCAACCCUCUGUUUCUUUGCCCCGAGACCUUCAGAGGUCCCCAGCUCUGGAAUUCUGCUUUUCAAUUGCAAAACGCGGGAAGGUGUUUCUAUGCAGCAAAUGACAGAAAACACUCAUUCAACUACAUUAAGUAAUAAGAAACUGUAUUUUUCAGAAGUAUGACAACGUUGUUAUUUAAAGUAAGAUUUAUGAAAGUUUCUAAAAUGUGGCAUUAAACUGCUGGGUAGUUUCAGGAAUGGACGCGGGUGGAUGCAGGUGUGUAGGUGAGAUGGAGGGUGUGUGCGAGUGAGGUGUGUGUUGAUUAUGUGUAUGCAGGAUCAUAGAUGAGAGU